rnacentral:rRNA from 1 species
UACGAAGGGGGCUAGCGUUGCUCGGAAUUACUGGGCGUAAAGCGCACGUAGGCGGCUUUGCAAGUUAGAGGUGAAAGCCCGGAGCUCAACUCCGGAAUUGCCUUUAAAACUGCAUCGCUAGAAUUGUGGAGAGGUGAGUGGAAUUCCGAGUGUAGAGGUGAAAUCCGUAGAUAUUCGGAAGAACACCAGUGGCGAAGGCGACUCACUGGACAUGUAUUGACGCUGAGGUGCGAAAGCGUGGGGAGCAAACAGG